rnacentral:rRNA from 1 species
GAGUUUGAUUAUGGCUCAGGAUGAACGCUAGCGAUAGGCUUAACACAUGCAAGUCGAGGGGCAGCGAGGGUAGCAAUACCUGUCGGCGACCGGCGCACGGGUGAGUAACGCGUAUGUAACCUGCCCGCAACAGGGGGAUAACCCGGCGAAAGUCGGACUAAUACCGCAUAAAACAGGGGUCCCGCAUGGGAAUAUUUGUUAAAGAUUUAUCGGUUGCGGAUGGGCAUGCGUACCAUUAGGUAGUUGGUGAGGUAACGGCUCACCAAGCCUUCGAUGGUUAGGGGUUCUGAGAGGAAGGUCCCCCACACUGGUACUGAGACACGGACCAGACUCCUACGGGAGGCAGCAGUGAGGAAUAUUGGUCAAUGGGCGAGAGCCUGAACCAGCCAAGUCGCGUGAAGGAUGACUGCCCUAUGGGUUGUAAACUUCUUUUACAAGGGAAUAAAAUGAGAUACGUGUAUUUUAUUGCAUGUACCUUG